rnacentral:rRNA from 1 species
GGUUGACCUCGGAUCAGGUAGGGUUACCCGCUGAACUUAAGCAUAUCAAUAAGCGGAGGAAAAGAAACCAACCGGGAUUGCCUCAGUAACGGCGAGUGAAGCGGCAAGAGCUCAAAUUUGAAAUCUGGCCCCCUCGGGGUCCGAGUUGUAAUUUGGAGAGGAUGCUUCGGGCGUGGCCCCCAUCUAAGUGCCCUGGAACGGGCCGUCAUAGAGGGUGAGA